UUUGGAAUUUUGGACAAUGGGCGAAAGCCUGAUCCAGCGACGCCGCGUGCACGAAGAAGGCCUUCGGGUUGUAAAGUGCUUUUGGUAGGGACAAAUUUUGAUGGUACCUACAGAAUAAGAGGUUGCUAACUCUGUGCCAGCAGCAGCGGUAAUACAGAGACCUCAAGCGUUAUCCGGAAUCAUUGGGCGUAAAGCGUGCCGAUAGGUGGUUUAUUUAGUCUUGGGUGAAAGCCCGAAGCUCAACUUCGGAGUUUGCUUAAGAUACUAAUAGACUAGAGGGGCAAAGAGGUGCUUGGAACGAACGGUGUAGUAGUGAAAUGCGUUGAUAUCGUUCGGAACACCGAAAGCGAAGGCAGAGCACUGGGUGCCACCUGACACUGCUAGGACGAAAGCGUGGGGAGCGAAUGGG
rnacentral:rRNA from 1 species